GCGAGGGUGGCGGAAUUGGUAGACGCACUGGAUUUAGGUUCCAGCGGGGUGACCCGUGGGGGUUCGACUCCCCCCCUUCGUA
rnacentral:tRNA from 1 species